UAUAAGUGUGGAGAGAAUCAUCUUUGUAACUCACCAUUUGGAAAUCGAGAGAGAAGCCACUAGUUGUCUAUAUGAAUCGUGG
rnacentral:rRNA from 1 species